GUUCAGAAUAUAGGGACGUACAUGGACAGAAUGGGUUCAGAAUAUAGGGACGUACAUGGACAGAAUGGGUUCAGAAUAUAGGGACGUACAUGGACAGAAUGGGUUCAGAAUAUAGGGACGUACAUGGACAGAAUGGGUUCAGAAUAUAGGGACAUACAUGGACAGAAUGGGUUCAGAAUAUAGGGACAUACAUGGACAGAAUGGGUUCAGAAUAUAGGGACGGACAUGGACAGAACAGGUUCAGAAUAUAGGGAUGGACAUGGACAGAAUGGGUUCAGAAUAUAGGGACGUACAUGGACAUGGACAGAACAGGUUCAGAAUAUAGGGACGUACAUGGACAGAACAGGUUCAGAAUAUAGGGACGUACAUGGACAGAAUGGGUUCAGAAUAUAGGGACGUACAUGGACAGAAUGGGUUCAGAAUAUAGGGACGUACAUGGACAGAAUGGGUUCAGAAUAUAGGGACAUACAUGGACAGAAUGGGUUCAGAAUAUAGGGACG